AGCCAUCUCUCCAGCCCCCUGGAAAUGAUCUUUUUAAACAAAGACAGUGUAGGGCUGCUCUUUGGAGAGGACCUGGUUUAAUUCCCAGCACCCGCUUCGAAGCUCACACCUGUCUGUGACUCUGGUUCCGGGGCUUCUGACACCCUCAGUCAGACACACACGCCGUCAAAACACCAGUGAACAUAAGCACAAACAGUUUCUAGGUGCCUGUUAGAACAAGGCUUUAACCUUGGAUGAAUAGGUAAAUUUGUAGGUAAGGAAAAAACUUACAUAAAGGUCUGCAGACUCUUAACAUCUUUCAGCUAUAUUUAUACCUGUUAGAUAUUUAAGAUACACUAUGCAGGUUAUGGAGAAGCAUGACAUCCCUGGACCCAGAAGCGAGCGUCCUGUCCAGUCUGUGCCACAGAAUUAUCUUCCUUUGGUCCUCCAGAGAAAAAGGAACUAU
rnacentral:lncRNA from 1 species